rnacentral:rRNA from 1 species
UACGAAGGGGGCUAGCGUUGCUCGGAAUGACUGGGCGUAAAGGGCGCGUAGGCGGUUUGUCCAGUCAGAUGUGAAAUUCCCGGGCUCAACCUGGGGGCUGCAUUUGAUACGUGCGGACUUGAGUGGGGAAGAGGGUCGUGGAAUUCCCAGUGUAGAGGUGAAAUUCGUAGAUAUUGGGAAGAACACCGGUGGCGAAGGCGGCGACCUGGUCCUUGACUGACGCUGAGGCGCGAAAGCGUGGGGAGCAAACAGG